GUGGGUCACUGUAUCAUCUGGACCUACUGGUCAUUCUUCCCGGACUGGAAACCAGUCACGAUCGCGAGCUGUCGGUCUCCUCAUAGGGAAGUCCUCUCAGUAUCUAAUGGCAGCCAAAAAUUCAGGAAAAAGGGACGAAAUGGGAAGCGAUAUGAUGAGACGUGAAGAGCAAAGCGCUUUUAAUGAAGCUGAGAGUGAACCCUCAGCUAGGGCAGAAGGAGUGCUGAGGGCAGAACCGGCCAGAGGAGGCCGGGCACUAGGCAGCCCCACCAGUGAGACUCUCGCUGUAAUAGGCGCCGGAUCCUGCGAUUGCCGGGCGUCUGGCCGGCGUGCCGAGUCCCAGAGCUCGCUGUGCACC